UGAGAGUUUGAUCCUGGCUCAGGACGAACGCUGGCGGCGUGCCUAAUACAUGCAAGUCGAACGAACUCUGGUAUUGAUUGGUGCUUGCAUCAUGAUUUACAUUUGAGUGAGUGGCGAACUGGUGAGUAACACGUGGGAAACCUGCCCAGAAGCGGGGGAUAACACCUGGAAACAGAUGCUAAUACCGCAUAACAACUUGGACCGCAUGGUCCGAGCUUGAAAGAUGGCUUCGGCUAUCACUUUUGGAUGGUCCCGCGGCGUAUUAGCUAGAUGGUGGGGUAACGGCUCACCAUGGCAAUGAUACGUAGCCGACCUGAGAGGGUAAUCGGCCACAUUGGGACUGAGACACGGCCCAAACUCCUACGGGAGGCAGCAGUAGGGAAUCUUCCACAAUGGACGAAAGUCUGAUGGAGCAACGCCGCGUGAGUGAAGAAGGGUUUCGGCUCGUAAAACUCUGUUGUUAAAGAAGAACAUAUCUGAGAGUAACUGUUCAGGUAUUGACGGUAUUUAACCAGAAAGCCACGGCUAACUACGUGCCAGCAGCCGCGGUAAUACGUAGGUGGCAAGCGUUGUCCGGAUUUAUUGGGCGUAAAGCGAGCGCAGGCGGUUUUUUAAGUCUGAUGUGAAAGCCUUCGGCUCAACCGAAGAAGUGCAUCGGAAACUGGGAAACUUGAGUGCAGAAGAGGACAGUGGAACUCCAUGUGUAGCGGUGAAAUGCGUAGAUAUAUGGAAGAACACCAGUGGCGAAGGCGGCUGUCUGGUCUGUAACUGACGCUGAGGCUCGAAAGUAUGGGUAGCAAACAGGAUUAGAUACCCUGGUAGUCCAUACCGUAAACGAUGAAUGCUAAGUGUUGGAGGGUUUCCGCCCUUCAGUGCUGCAGCUAACGCAUUAAGCAUUCCGCCUGGGGAGUACGGCCGCAAGGCUGAAACUCAAAGGAAUUGACGGGGGCCCGCACAAGCGGUGGAGCAUGUGGUUUAAUUCGAAGCUACGCGAAGAACCUUACCAGGUCUUGACAUACUAUGCAAAUCUAAGAGAUUAGACGUUCCCUUCGGGGACAUGGAUACAGGUGGUGCAUGGUUGUCGUCAGCUCGUGUCGUGAGAUGUUGGGUUAAGUCCCGCAACGAGCGCAACCCUUAUUAUCAGUUGCCAGCAUUAAGUUGGGCACUCUGGUGAGACUGCCGGUGACAAACCGGAGGAAGGUGGGGAUGACGUCAAAUCAUCAUGCCCCUUAUGACCUGGGCUACACACGUGCUACAAUGGAUGGUACAACGAGUUGCGAACUCGCGAGAGUAAGCUAAUCUCUUAAAGCCAUUCUCAGUUCGGAUUGUAGGCUGCAACUCGCCUACAUGAAGUCGGAAUCGCUAGUAAUCGCGGAUCAGCAUGCCGCGGUGAAUACGUUCCCGGGCCUUGUACACACCGCCCGUCACACCAUGAGAGUUUGUAACACCCAAAGUCGGUGGGGUAACCUUUUAGGAACCAGCCGCCUAAGGUGGGACAGAUGAUUAGGGUGAAGUCGUAACAAGGUAGCCGUAGGAGAACCUGCGGCUGGAUCACCUCCUUUCU
rnacentral:rRNA from 1 species